rnacentral:lncRNA from 1 species
GGCCCGCCCCCAAACCCGCCCUUUCCCCGCCCCCGACACGCAAAGGCCCUGCCUCAUACUCCUAAAACUCCGCCCAGAUCUCUGGGCAAGGCGUGGUCUAGGGUGACCCCCAUGAAAGGAUCAUUGAACCCCACAAUGGGAGCUGAAAUGACACACAGGUUGAAAACCAUAGUCCUAGAGUCAGGCACAGGAGGGACUCUGUAAAAAGGUGGGACCAGAUGUCCUGGAGCCAGCUGCCUUCUCCCUCCUGUUAUUUCAGCAUCUGCAUCUGCACAGGCUGCCAUCCCUCCCGCCACAAACUCUGAGUGUUAUUUCCUCCUUCUGGAAAGUUCCUUACCAUCAAGUUCAGACAUCAUUUUCCUAGGGAAAUGUUGAGAAUCUGUGACCCAAUUCCAGCUCUGAUCUUCCUGGUCCCUAAGAGCCUGUUUCUGCCCAGUACCCCUAUGUCCUUUCAAGCCAUCACACUACUAUUUGGGGUGAAAGGUGAACCAGUGGGGGCAGGGGAGAUAGUUCUUGGUGUGACUGCUAGGUCCUUGAGGAGCUGAGACGCAGUGGGCCUCUUGGGUGUGACUGCUAGGCCCUUGAGGAGCUGACACACAGUGGGUCUCCAUGAAUGCAGGUUGAGUCAUUGAACAGUAAGUGAAUCUUGGUAGCCACUGUCACAGGAUUAUGGAAACCCUAGCUGGUUGUCAGUGACAGUAGGGAUAGUCACCAGAGGGACAGGCCAGCGGUGAUAUAUUGUUCUA